AUUGAACGCUGGCGGCAGGCUUAACACAUGCAAUUCGAGCGAGUGACGGACGGGUGAGUAAUGCUUGGGAAUCUAGCUUAUGGAGGGGGAUAACUACGGGAACCUGUAGCUAAUACCGCGUACCCUAGGAUGAGCCCACGUGGGAUUAGGUAGUUGGUGGGGUAAAGGAUCACCAAGCCGCAGAUCUCUAGCUGGUCUGAGAGGAGGACCAGCCACACUAGAACUGAGACACGGCCCAGACGCAUACGGGAGGCAGCAGUGGGGAAUAUUGCGCAAGGGGAGCAACCGGGCGUAGCCCUGCCGCGUGAAUGAAGAAGGCCUUCGGGUUGUAAAGUUCUUUCGCUAGCAAGGCGUUACCUACAGAAUAAGCACCGGCUAACUCCGUGCCAGCAGCCGCGGUAAUAC
rnacentral:rRNA from 1 species